AGUGAACGCUGGCGGUAGGCCUAACACAUGCAAGUCGAACGGCAGCACAGUAAGAGCUUGCUCUUACGGGUGGCGAGUGGCGGACGGGUGCGGAAUACAUCGGAAUCUACUUUUUCGUGGGGGAUAACGUAGGGAAACUUACGCUAAUACCCCAUACGACCUACGGGUGAAAGCAGGGGAUCUUCGGCCCUUGCGCGAUUGAAUGAGCCGAUGUCGGAUUAGCUAGUUGGCGGGGUAAAGGCCCACCAAGGCGACGAUCCGUAGCUGGUCUGAGAGGAUGAUCAGCCACACUGGAACUGAGACACGGUCCAGACUCCUACGGGAGGCAGCAGUGGGGAAUAUUGGACAAUGGGCGCAAGCCUGAUCCAGCCAUACCGCGUGGGUGAAGAAGGCCUUCGGGUUGUAAAGCCCUUUUGUUGGGAAAGAAAAGCAGCAGGUUAAUACCCCGCUGUUCUGACGGUACCAAAAGAAUAAGCACCGGCUAACUUCGUG
rnacentral:rRNA from 1 species